UACGUAGGGGGCGAGCGUUGUCCGAAGUUACUGGGCGUAAAGAGCGCGUAGGCGGGUUCUUAAGUGAGUGGUGAAAGGUUCGGGCUUAACCCGGACACUGCCUUUCAUACUGGGAACCUUGAGUGCGGGAGAGGCGAGUGGAAUGGUCGGUGUAGCGGUGAAAUGCGUAGAUAUCAGGAGGAACACCAAUGGCGAAGGCAGCUCGCUGGGACGGUACUGACGCUGAGACGCGAAGGCGUGGGGAGCAAACAGG
rnacentral:rRNA from 1 species